UGUCCAAAGCUCGAUUUGAACCUGGAUCUCCUGCUUAUAAAGCAUACAAUCUAACCACUGCGCCACGGCUGCACAACAUUUGGCAUAACUUUUUUGUGAAUCAAGAAGCUCGUUUUGAUCAGUUUAGAAAAUUAAAAGGUUUAAAUAGAGAUAAGCGCUAUAAAAAGAAUGAGCUAAAACAAAAGAAGGCAGAGACACCAACAAAAAGCUUUGAAGUUAAUGAUAGUGAAGAGGAGGCAGAUAAUUAUAAAAAUCUUUGCAGCUAAAGACAGUGAAGAGAAGGCAGUUAAGCCAUUAAAAACCAUUGUUGUUGAAGAUAGUGAAGAGAUAGUAAAUACGAAAAAAAGCUACAUAGUUGAUGAUACAGAAGAAAAAGCUCUUUAAACAAGAUAUGCUAAUAUGCUGUAUGGUGGAAAAAUUUCAUUGGACGCUUGCAAUAAUCAAACCAGGUAAUAAAACAAUUCACUCUAUGGACACUAUGGGAGAACAGACAAAUUCCAUCAAAAAAGAAGAAGUGAAAUGGAAUUGUUACUUACAACAAAGAUACGGUGUUUCAGAAAAGUUUGAAAUAUUAACAUUACCAUAUGCCAUACAAGCUGAAGGUAUAACAUUUGGAGUAUUCUGCCUUAAGUUUGCUGAAAGUUAUACAAAUAGAGAAGUAUUAGUGUGUGUCUUUCCACAUGAAGAAGUUAAUGCAUACAGAAAGAGAGAUAAAGGAGGUUUGUGAGAUUCUUUAGAGAACUGAAAAUGUUUAUACUACUUCAAUGUUAAAUGAUAUCUAUAAAAAAGACAAA